CCUACGGGCGGCAGCAGUGGGGAAUAUUGCACAAUGGGGGCAACCCUGAUGCAGCGACGCCGCGUGAGCGAUGAAGUAUCUCGGUAUGUAAAACUCUAUCAGCCGGGAAGAAGAUGACGGUACCUGACUAAGAAGCCCCGGCUAACUACGUGCCAGCAGCCGCGGUAAUACGUAGGGGGCAAGCGUUAUCCGGAUUUACUGGGUGUAAAGGGAGCGUAGACGGCGAUGCAAGCCAGAUGUGAAAGCCCGGGGCGCAAACCCGGGACUGCAGUUGGAACUGUGUGGCUGGAGUGUCGGAGAGGCAGGCGGAAUGCCUAGUGUAGCGGUGAAAUGCGUAGAUAUUAGGAGGAACACCAGUGGCGAAGGCAGCCUGCUGGACGAUGACUGACGUUGAGGCUCGAAAGCGUGGGGAGCAAACAGGAUUAGAUACCCCAGUAGUC
rnacentral:rRNA from 1 species